AUGGUUUUCUUACCAUCUUCAUCAAUUCGGAGAACCAUCGGUCCUACUCAGGUCGGUACAUAUCUCUUUUCGUUUCCAGUUGAGUUUGAAGCGAAUCGAAGAGAACGAGGAUUGAAAUCGGAGAAGAGAGAAUCACUGAGGAUAGCGCUACCGAUGACGAAGUUGGAACGAAGCUUUAAGGAGAACAAACCGCGUACAGUCGUGUGGUGGCCGGAUGGAGAGCCGUCGCGGUUAGAGAGAGGGAUGAGGAACCCUUUUGAAAGAAUGUGA